rnacentral:rRNA from 1 species
GACGAACGCUGGCGGCGCGCCUAACACAUGCAAGUCGAACGGAGCUGAGAGAAGCUUGCUUUUCUUAGCUUAGGGGCGAACGGGUGAGUAACGCGUGAGUAACCUGCCCUGUAGUGGGGGACAACAGUUGGAAACGGCUGCUAAUACCGCAUAAGCCCACGAUCCGGCAUCGGAUUGAGGGAAAAGGAUUUAUUCGCUUCAGGAUGGACUCGCGUCCAAUUAGCUAGUUGGUGAGGUAACGGCCCACCAAGGCGACGAUUGGUAGCCGGACUGAGAGGUUGAACGGCCACAUUGGGACUGAGACACGGCCCAGACUCCUAAGGGAGGGAGAAGUGGGGGAUAUUGAACAAUGGGGGAAACCCUGAUGAAGCGACGCCGCGUGGAGGAAGAAGGUUUUCGGAUUGUAAAAUCCUGUCGUAAGGGACGAUAAUGACGGUAACUAACAAGAAAGCACCGGCUAACUACGUG